ACAAACUUGGUCAUUUAGAGGAAGUAAAAGUCGUAACAAGGUCUCCGUAGGUGAACCUGCGGAGGGAUCAUUACCAGAGAUGCGCCCCCUUUGCCGCUCCGGCGGAGGUAACGUUAGGGGGGCCAUUUCCAACCCUUUGUUGACCAAAACCUUUUUUGCCUCGGGGGUGGAGCGUCCUUUUGGUCGCCGCCCCCGGAGGACCAACCAACGCUGUCUUUUUACGUCAGAGUAUUGAUUAAAUGAAUAAAAACUUUCAACAACGGAUCUCUUGGUUCUGGCAUCGAUGAAGAACGCAGC
rnacentral:misc_RNA from 1 species